rnacentral:rRNA from 1 species
CCUUCGGGUUGUAAAGCACUUUUGUACGGGAAGAAAAGCUUUCGGCUAAUACCCGGGAGUCAUGACGGUACCGUAAGAAUAAGCACCGGCUAACUUCGUGCCAGCAGCCGCGGUAAUACGAAGGGUGCAAGCGUUACUCGGAAUUACUGGGCGUAAAGCGUGCGUAGGUGGUUUGUUGAGCUGAUGUGAAAGCCCUGGGCUCACCUGGGAAUUGCAUUGGAUACUGGCAGUCUAGAGUGCGGUAGAGGGUAGCGGAAUUCCCGGUGUAGCAGUGAAAUGCGUAAAUAUCGGGAGGAACAUCCGUGGCGAAGGCGGCUACCUGGACCAGCACUGACACUGAGGCACGAAAGCGUGGGGAGCAAACAGGAUUAGAUACCCUGG